rnacentral:rRNA from 1 species
UACGAAGGGGGCUAGCGUUGCUCGGAAUCACUGGGCGUAAAGCGCACGUAGGCGGAUCUUUAAGUCAGGGGUGAAAUCCUGGAGCUCAACUCCAGAACUGCCUUUGAUACUGAGGAUCUUGAGUCCGGGAGAGGUGAGUGGAACUCCGAGUGUAGAGGUGAAAUUCGUAGAUAUUCGGAAGAACACCAGUGGCGAAGGCGGCUCACUGGCCCGGUACUGACGCUGAGGUGCGGAAAGCGUGGGGAGCAA